ACGGGAGGCAGCAGUGGGGAAUAUUGGGCAAUGGGGGAAACCCUGACCCAGCAACGCCGCGUGAAGGAAGAAGGUCUUCGGAUCGUAAACUUCUGUCCUAAGAGACGAGUAGAAGACGGUAUCUUAGGAGGAAGCCCCGGCUAACUACGUGCCAGUAGCCGCGGUAAUACGUAGGGGGCAAGCGUUGUCCGGAAUGAUUGGGCGUAAAGGGCGCGUAGGCGGUCUGGUAAGUCUGAAGUGAAAGUCCUGGCUUCAAGUUGGGAAUUGCUUUGGAUACUGUCGGACUUGAGUGCAGGAGAGGUUAGUGGAAUUCCCAGUGUAGCGGUGAAAUGCGUAGAGAUUGGGAGGAACACCAGUGGCGAAGGCGACUAACUGGACUGUAACUGACGCUGAGGCGCGAAAGUGUGGGGAGCAAACAGGAUUAGAUACCCUGGUA
rnacentral:rRNA from 1 species